GCCAUUUAGCCGGUUCCCUUUGCAGUGGAGGCCACACUGCAUUCCAAGUCCUCGAGGUGCGUGGAGCGGUACUACCGGGAACUUGAGGAAGGGCGUUUACGCAACUGAUAAAGCCAACUCCAGCGUGAAACUGAGGGCCUCCAUUACCGAAGAAGAUGCGCGCUCCCGUGCCAGAGCCCCUGCCUGGAGACCUGAUCGAGAUUUUCCGCCCUAUCUACAGACACUGGGCCGUCUACGUUGGCAAUGGAUAUGUGAUCCACCUGGCCCCCGCAAGUGAAAUCGCGGGAGCUGGUAUGGCCAGUGCCAUGUCUGUGCUGACCGACAAGGCCAUAGUGAAGAAGGAUCGGCUGUGCGACGUGGCCGGGAGAGACCCGUACCAGGUCAACAAUAAGCACGAUGGCAAGUACUCGCCGUUGCCUGCCAACAAAAUUGUCCAGCAGGCGGAGGAGCUGGUGGGCCGGGAAGUUCUCUACAAGCUGACCAGCGAUAACUGCGAGCACUUCGUCAACGAGCUGCGCUACGGGGUCUCCCGCAGUGACCAGUGUCUUGUUCACUGGCCCGUCUGGGCCACAGUGACUUGCUGGGGAGGCAUCGACCAACACCCCCUACAGGGAUCAUGCUCCGCCUUCCUCAUACAACUGACAAUCAGCUGUGUUUACUACACUGACCUGCAUGUUGGUUAGUUCAUCCUAUGCUCUGUGUUGAUACAGUAGAUAUCUUCCAAUGGCACCUUCUUGAAAAAUGAAACAAUACAAAUUGGACACAUCCCAUUCUGUUCCUGAGGCUUUAGCCCAAUGCACUAGCCAGCCACCUGAAAGAGGCAAAACCGUGACAACACAAUGAUGAAACAGCAUCAACAAUUCUACUGGACCCCCUCACAGAACGUGAAACCAGAACAUACUACAAAACAAAAAGAGGUCAGAGAUGCCAUCAUGGCAGCUGGCAUUGCAGGAGUGGGCCUGGCAGCCAUGGGCCUCAUUGGAAUCAUGUUCUCAAGAAACAAG